GGUGAGUAACGCGUAGGUAACCUACCUCAUAGCGGGGGAUAACUAUUGGAAACGAUAGCUAAUACCGCAUAAGAGAGACUAACGCAUGUUAGUAAUUUAAAAGGGGCAAUUGCUCCACUAUGAGAUGGACCUGCGUUGUAUUAGCUAGUUGGUGAGGUAAAGGCUCACCAAGGCGACGAUACAUAGCCGACCUGAGAGGGUGAUCGGCCACACUGGGACUGAGACACGGCCCAG
rnacentral:rRNA from 1 species